rnacentral:rRNA from 1 species
UGGGGAAUAUUGCACAAUGGGGGAAACCCUGAUGCAGCGACGCCGCGUGAGCGAAGAAGGUUUUCGAAUCGUAAAGCUCUGUCCUAUGGGAAGAUAAUGACGGUACCAUAGGAGGAAGCCCCGGCUAACUACGUGCCAGCAGCCGCGGUAAUACGUAGGGGGCAAGCGUUGUCCGGAAUCACUGGGCGUAAAGGGUUCGCAGGCGGAAAUGCAAGUCAGUUGUGAAAGGCAGAGGCUCAACCUCUGUAAGCAAUUGAAACUGUAUUUCUUGAGAUGUGGAGAGGCAAGUUGAAUUCCUAGUGUAACGGUGAAAUGCGUAGAUAUUAGGAAGAAUACCGGUGGCGAAGGCGACUUGCUGGACACAAACUGACGCUGAGGAACGAAAGCGUGGGGAGCGAACAGG